AAAUGAUGAAGGCUCACAAAGCUAAGGAGAUUCCAGGAUACCAUGUAUGUUACACUGCUACUUUGAGAGAGACAUUAUCCCACUUGAAAUGGUGCUGAUCUUUGGUGGACUUGGAAGUAUUCCAAAAUCACAUGGCCACGGUAUUCUAUCAUCACAAGCUGGGUUCCACAAGUUGAGUUCUAUGAGUGGCCUUUUGUAUCAUUUUGUGAUCACGAGUAUCAAAGACAUAGAAUGGAUCAUGGAGGGCACGGACUGGACUUUCAAGAUCACCUGCAUCAAUUGUAAAAAGUAGAUCCUACAGUGGUGAAAGGAGUUGUGACUGUACACAAAGAAGGUUGAGUUAAAAACUCAGGGAGAGCGCCUCGAAUGUCUAACCGUAAUCCAUCCCUGCCAAGAACAAAAAGAAUAAAGCAA